CAAAGAUGGCGGGGAAGGCCUCAGGGAGCGCGCGGACUGAACGGCUGAAGCCGCGGCGGACGCGGAGACAGCGGUAGCGGCGCGGCGGGGACCGCGGUGGCGGGCAGCCGCGGUGGCAGCGACGGCAGCACCAGCGGGAGUGGCGGGGCGCAGCGAAGGAAGCCGGAGCGCACGGCCGAGGUCCUGGUCACCCGGAGCAGCUGCGGUGGGUCACUGGUGGCACUGAAUCCGGCCUCUGCCUUACUGGACUCAGCUGUCAGGCGAGCCCACCACCGGGGCACACCCCUCGGCUCCCAGCUCGUGAACGGAAAUUCUGAUCACGUGGUUUCAGCGUUUCCACUGACAGAGAGCAUUCCGCAAGAAUACCCAGAAGUGUGGCAACACUGGUGGCCUCCAGGAGGAGAAACGGAUGGCUGUGGACAGAAGACUUUCCUUUUCCCCAUAGGGCCUCAGAAUGACAAAGCAACUCUUGGGUGAAGUUCUGAACAACAGCAAUAACAAAAGAUGAAGGAGGAAGGAAAAAAACUUCAUUUGAGUUCGAAUAAGAGGAAGACUCUGGGGACAUUCUAAAUGGAGAGUAACAUCCACAGUAAGAAGCAAACCCCAAGCUAAGCUGAAGUUUCCAACACCUCCAGGAGUUAAGGACUUCUCUCCUUAACCCAGAGCUAUGCUGCUAACCUGACAACAACCCACACAAAAGCAGAGCGCACCGUGGCCUGCACGCGGCUGCUCAGUAAGGGUCAUCUGGAUAAGGAACCGAAUGUUACCAAUGCCACACCACCUUCAAGUGUAAACCCCAAACCUGAACAAUUGUGAAGAACACUCAUUCUGCUUUCUGCCAUUAUUUGCACCUGAAGCAAGUUACUGUCAAGGCUCACAUGUAUACACAUCCACAAGUACUUAUUUCUUCAGUAAAAAAAAAAAAUCCAGAUACCUUCUGUUAAUGACUACAAUGGAGACAACAAGGACCAAGAGUUGAAUUUCACAUCGAGAGUAUGAUGAAUAUCAAGAAAAGAAGUUGCUGAGUUGUAUGCAAUGCAGGAGAGCCCCAGCUGUUAUAAAUCCUCACCAACACUUGGGCCCUAAAGCAAAUUGCUUGAAGAACUUGGAUCGCAAAGAUUACAGGUGGGGAAUUGUCAAAGUAUCUCCAUAUUCAAGGGAAGAUCAAAGAUGCUCAACUAAAAAGAAUCGUGGGCUGACUAACAUGACAACUGUGAACUGAGCCACAGUUCUUUUUAAAAGGGCAAUCUUGAAGAUUAUGACUCAAACACUGAAGGAACUAAGGUGAUGGGCAGUGGGAGGAAUCCUAACAUGAAAAUGCAUUAAGUAAAAAUGAAUUGACUUUAAAUAAUUUUGCCCAUGUUACUUUUAACAAAAGAAAAAAACUUUACACUCUAAAAUAAUGGUUAAUUUUAUGUUACAUGAAUUUCACCUGGAUAAAAAGGAGGAGGAAGAGGCAGAGGCAGAGGCAGGGCUAGACUCAGUAAGCCACCCCACCCAAAAAAGCAGAAAGGCACACACAAAACAGGAACCUUCAAAGUAGCCAUGGUAUAACUUAAGACAAUUUCCUUUCCUCCUCACCCUUCUCCCAAGUGCCCUUGUGCACAGAUUUGCAAAAGUGAAGGAAACAGCUGGAACAGCCUGGGUGCCUAGGAUUGCCAGUCCAGAGCAGGAAGUUCUUUACUGAGGCAAUAAACCGGGACCCGUGUGCCUCUCACCUGCUCCCAUGCGCCCCGCUCCAACUUUGUUUCUCCUCCUUGCCUUUUAUAAAGCCACAGCUAAAAGAGAAUGUGCUGAUGGUUUUUCACUAAGUUACUCUUUAAGAAACAAAGCAUCACUAUUUUCAGCUAAGAGAUUAGAUUAAGGCAGGAAAAAUAAGAAAAUGUUUUCUUGCAUUCAGCACCAAAAAUAAA